rnacentral:rRNA from 1 species
AUGCCAAUUCACGCCAUGAUGGCGUUGGACCUUCCAUUUAAGACAAUUGAAGCUGCCAACAAAAUUUGUAGAGGGUUUCUAUGGAAGGGUCGACGCAACGUACACGGAGGGCACUGUUUGGUGGCCUGGGACAAAGUCUGUUCGCCCAAGGAAUACGGUGGGCUGGGAGUGCCCAACUUGCGCCUUCUCAAUACUUCGCUGAGAGCGAGAUGGUCGUGGCUGGCACGGACGGAUACGACCAGACCAUGGGCAGAAUUUAAUCUCCAAGUCUCAUCGGACUCGCUAGCCAUCUACAGAGCAGCCACGAAAUGCAUCUUGGGGGAUGGAGCCACGGUACUAUUCUGGACGGAUUGGUGGCUCCAGGAGGGACGCAUACAUGACAUCAUGCCAAACCUAUUCAGUGUCGUCAAGAAGAGCGCAACCAAGGUCAGAACAGUGAGAGAAGUGAUGUCUGGGAAAUGGUGGCGUGACGUGUCACCCAACAUGGACGCCCAAGGCAUACAAGAAUUUCUGAGAUUGGUUGAUCGAGUUCGGUUUGUCAAACUUGCAGAAGGGAUCGAUGACAAGAUUGUCUGGACAUGGGAAGAUAAUGGCUUGUUCUCCGCCCGAACAGCCUAUCGUGCUCACUUUGCCGCAAGAAUUGAGGCGGCAGGGGCCAUGGAAAUAUGGAAGUCUAGAGCACCGACAACUUGCAAGUUCUUUUCAUGGCUAGCGGCAAAGAGAAGAUGCCGGACGUCAGACAGAUUACAGAGACGUCUACUGCCUCACCCAGCGGCGUGCCCGUUCUGCAACCAGGAGCCAGAAACGAUUGAUCACCUACUCCUUGGAUGUGUUCUCGCUCGGCAAGUUUGGGUUGUCAUCAUGGGUAACCGGGGAAAGCCUCACUGUACACCUGCACCGGAGGCUGAACUCGUGGGAUGGUGGACCUCCCUCAACAUCCAGAAGAACAAAAGAAAAGAAACAUGGACGGUGAUCACCCUAGUGGCUUGGUCCCUGUGGAAAAACAGGAAUGACAUCGUGUUCAAUGGAGCUUCACCUUCCGUGAAUGAGGUUCUGCGACAGAUCGAAGCGGAGGGACAAAACUGGGCGAUAGCGAGUAGUCAGCAUGCGGUCUCAGGCUAG